UCCCUCGCGAACACUGGCUUUCGGUAGAACAAUGUCGAAGGUACAGCGAAACACAGUAGUUGCUUUGUUGUUGGCUGCACAAACCAACACAGAAGUCUUUUUUUAAUCCCUACGCCCGAGGAUCUGAAGACCCAGUGGAUUAAUUUUAUUUUUGAUGGAAAUGUCCCCGCUCCAACUCCGAAAGUGUUGUACGUGUGUGCUAACCAUUUCACCUCGGACUGCUUUCUCAACGAGGGCCAGGACAACGCAGGAUUUCCUACAAGUCUCAAGAUAAAGCUUGGAUCAGUACCGACUGUCUGUGACCCAACUUUGAACUUCGGAGCUGCCAUCUAUACAGCUUCCUGCAACAGGGGAUGUUGCAUGCCAGACUGACCCACUGCAGGCACACAGUUAUCAUUGAAGAGUCUUCAGCCUCACAUCAGAAGUACAGGGAAUGUGGUGGACCUCAUAUUUGAAAAAGUCUUUGUGACCUGGGACCAUACACAGAAGCUGCUUUGGCCAUCCCCAUCCCAGAGGACCUCACUGCACAGUUCGAGCAGCCUGAGAAGGAGGAGGUCAUAUCCAGCUCUGUGUCCCGGUUCUAUCAUGGGCCAGUCUAAAACCCACAUACCGGCCUGUGGCGUCAGGAAACACGGCAUGGAUGCGUAGGACCACGCAGGCUGGAAUGACGACCCAGAUUCUGCAACCAAGGAAGCACCAGCUCACAAAGCUCCUAUAGGCGAGAUACCUGUACUGACUAAAACAACUGGACAGGGCAUUUAGUCUUGCAAACAUAUAUCUAUGUUGUGUCUCACAAUUUUUUAUAUGGAUCCAGUGAAUCCUACAGUUUUUUCAUCAUCACUGAUUAUAACUGCCUCAUUCGAUGUAAAUAAAUGCUUGAUUGUUACUAAAGAAAUGACUCC